rnacentral:rRNA from 1 species
UACGGAGGGUGCAAGCGUUAUCCGGAUUCACUGGGUUUAAAGGGUGCGUAGGUGGGCUAGUAAGUCAGUGGUGAAAUCUCCGGGCUUAACCCGGAAACUGCCAUUGAUACUAUUAGUCUUGAAUGUUGUGGAGGUAAGCGGAAUAUGUCAUGUAGCGGUGAAAUGCUUAGAUAUGACAUAGAACACCGAUAGCGUAGGCAGCUUACUACACAAAUAUUGACACUGAGGCACGAAAGCAUGGGGAUCAAACAGG